AUGUCUGUUUAUCUUUGGCUUGUUCCAGCUCACCCUCCAGAGCCCAUUUUCUCCUCCAGGUUCCCACUAAUCCAAACACAGCUGAGAGGAGCCUGCUGUGUGUCAUCCACCGACAAAAGACUUCGCCGGACAUCUCAUGCUUACCGAGGUCUGUCAGUGGACAGGAUAGCAAUUCCCAGAUCCACGCAGAAAGAGUUUGACCCUAAUAACACAAAUGCUUGUCGCCGCCACUGUCACAGGAAAUGUGUUUAAAGGAACAGUUCACCCAAAAAAGAAAAUCUGCUGAAAUGUACUCACCUCGAAGCCAUCUGAGAUGUUUCUUCAUCAAAUUUGGAGAAAUGUAGCAUUCCAUCCUUUGCUCAGCAAUGGAUGCUUUGCAGUGAAUGGGUGCCGUCAGAAUGAGAGUCCAAACAGCUGAUAAAAACCCCACAAUAAUUCACAAGUAAUCCACAGCACUCCGGUCCAUCAGUUAAGAUCUAAAAUGAUGUUUUUAUCAGCUGUUUGGACUCUCAUUCUGACGGCACCCACUCACUGCAGAGCAUCCAUUGGUGAGCGAAUACAUUUCAAAUCUGAUGAAGAAACAAACUCACCUACAUCUCAGAUGACCUCAGGGUGAGUACAUUUUCGACAAAUUUUAGUUUUUGGGUGAACUGUUCCUUUAAGGAGUUUAAUGUGCAUGCUCUAGGGUGGAUGAGCAACAGAUUACACAGUAACAGAUUAAAAUUCAGAUUUAAUUCACAGUAUAACAGUAUUUUAAUGCAGUUAUUUCUGGUCUAACCUGAGAUGAUUCAUUGAAACUCAUUGUUCCAUAGGCAUAAGGAUAUUAAGUCACCUUUUACUAUAAUAAUUCAUCUCUUCAGCUUCUGAAAGUCGUUCACACACUCAGACCUUGAGUUUUUUUUUAGAAACAAAACCCACUGAGGUGACUGGAUGCUUGAGUAUGCUCAAAAUCAGAGACAUUUCCAGGCUGAGUGUAUUUAUUACUGCAGGUGGGCAGGUAAUGGUGGUAGCUGUGAGAAAAUGGAAAUCGUUUAUUUGACGUAUAGCGGUUAGAUCCUGAAAUAAAGUUGACAGCAUUAUGAAUCUUGUGCGGUGCAGAAACGUUAAAGAAUAUUAGAUGUCUUCAACAGAACUGGUGUAAAUGAGAUCCCAGAUAAGUUCGGUUAAAUCAGAUGCUCAUAUACAGAAAACAUUUGAUGUGUCUGUGAAAUGAGACUUGUUAUAACUCCACAUUUUACACACUCGUGCAUUAAUGUUCUGGAGUUGGAUCCACAAGAAAAAUGUAAGAAAAAUGGCUUUAACUUUAUUUCAAUGGUCCCAUUAACACAUUCUGUUGAAUAUAAGUAACCUUGCACCUACAUGUCUACUAACUUUCAUUAGACUGUUAGCAGAGCAUUAGUAGACUGGUAGGGUUAGAAUAAGUUGACAUUUACUUGAAAAGUUACUUGUAGUCUGUAGAAUGUCUGUUGGGACACCAUCACAAUAAAGAGUUAGCAGAUAAGACAGAUUUCUAACACUCUAACGAGAGUUUGUUGACGUACAGAAGGUGCAAAGUUACUGAUUGUCAACAGAAUGCAUCAAACUAAAGUAUUACCGAAAACUGUUAAGAAAGUUAUUUUGCCGUUCUUGAAAAGUUCCCAUACAUUUCUUAAGAAUAUCAUAAUUUCUUUCGUAAGAAUGAAAUAACAACAUUUGAUAUCUGAAGAUCAUUUAUUAUCCUACACAUGAGGUUUCCUUUUCUAAUACAUUGGUAAAUCUUAAGUAUUUGUCCAUUUUAUAACCUUUUUUUUUUUGCAACCACCUGCCAAUCAUUUAUUUAAUGUAAAGUGUGUGAGAUUCUCAUUUAAUAAAAUUAACUGUAAUAUCAGAAUUUACUUGACAGAUUAUAUACAGUAAAUAAAAUCUUGUAUUAGUAAUUUAAGUAGUAUUUAAUAUAAAUUAUUUGAAGCAACCCAAUAAAUGCAUUUGGGCAUUUAAGAUAAUAGGAUGUUAUACCAUGUUUACAUUAUUAAUAAUGAUGUUUAGGAUCUCUUUUUUUUUGAUAAGAAAAUGUUUAAAAAUAAAAAGUGAUAAGAAUUGUUUUAAGAAUGUUUGUGAAUUUAAUUCCUGAUGUAUAAUAAUAAUAAUAAUAAAAAUAAUAAAGAUUGAAUAAGAAUUCUAUUGAGAAAGUUCUGAAUCCACUUCCUGGAGUAAAAUGAAAUUAAAUGAAUUUCAAUUGAAUUAAAAAAUAAAAUAAAAUAAUGAACAAACAAACAAACAAACAAAAAUAAUAAAUGGGUAUAUAUAUAUAUAUUUCUUAAAAAAAAAGAUACUCAAGAAAGAUACUCAAAAUUAGUUUGAGGUAUUUAGGAGGACACAGACUAUGAGUAUAUUCCACUUUAAUCAGAAUUUAUGUCUGUCUUAAUGUACUUAAAGUACUGAUUAUUCCACAGACAGAAGUGCACCCAUAUUUCCAUUGCUUUGUAUGUACAUCUGUUCAUGGAGACUGACAUAUUCUGAAUGUGUUUGCCCAAAUAAGCUCUAAUAUGGGCCAGAAUUUAUGCCGGCAGUCAAACGUCUGGCUAUUAUGAAAACUAGCUGAAGUGAAAUGAGAGGAAAUACACCAGAUCACUUCUGUAUAUGUGGUGAGUCAAACAUCCUUCCAACUCGCUCCUUAUUACAGAAUUCCCCUGGAGCAAUAACUGUGUAUAUCAACGUGUUUCCUGAAUGAUGCUCUAUAAGGAACUAAACCAAACAUUCAAGUGUUUUCCCGUCUCCACAUGUGCUCCUGGAUCUGUAUGUACACUCCUGCUCGGCUCGGUAGUCAAAGACAAUAACCCUUUGCAAAUAUUUGUCGCGUUUAUAACAGAGUCACGAGAUUAGUGGUUAAUGGUUAUUAUGAACUGAGAUGAAAUAUGCCAUAAACAUUUUAUGAUAUAACCUAGGAUGAAGAAAGACACCAGAUGAUUUAAACAUUUGGCACAGUCUUGCUGAAAUAUUAUAAUACAGUUAACGUUCUAUUAAAUGACACUUUGUACAGUUUCUUUGGAACAAUAUGUACAAUAAUGAUACAGUCACAUUGUCAUUAUUUACAUAUAUAAAUAAUGCAUUUAAAGGUGGAGUUUGUGCUACUAGUGACAAAAUUGCCAAAAUAAGGUUAAAGUUUUCAAACACACAGGGAUACAAUAUCCUGAAAGUGGCAAAAAGUCAAUUGCUCUAUUAACUGACUGACUUAGUCCUUAUCUUUGCAGUUUUGAUUUUAAGAUCAUUUGUUUUCAAACAGCUUUCACAAAACACUCAGAAUGCAAUGUUUUCACCACUCAGUAUAAAUUUUUUUCUGGCCAAAAUAUGCUAAAAAUAUAUGAAGCUAGAGAAAAAAAAUUCCACACACACACACACACACACACACACACACACACACACAUAUAUAUAUAUAUACAUAUAUAUAUAUACAGUACAGGUCAAAAGUUUGGAAACAUUACUAUUUUUAAUGUUUUUGAAAGAAGUCUCUUCUGCUCAUCAAGCCUGCAUUUAUUUGAUCAAAAAAAUACAGAAAAAACAGUAAUAUUGUGAAAUAUUACUACAACUUAAAAUAAUAGUUUUCUAUUUGAAUAUACUUUAAAAAAAAAAAAAUUUAUUCCUGUGAUGCAAAGCUGAAUUUUCAGCAUCAUUACUCCAGCCUUCAGUGUCACAUGUAACAUCCAGUCUAUCACAUGAUCAUUUAUAAAUCAUUCUAAUAUUCUGAUUUAUUAUGAGUGUUGGAAACAGUUCUGCUGUCUAAUAUAUUUGAUGAAUAAAAGGUUAAAAAGAACUGCAUUUAUUCAAAAUAAAAAAAAAUCUAAUAAUAUAUAUUCUAAUAAUAUAUUUU
ensembl:lncRNA